CCUUCCUCUGGUUGAUAAUUGCCUUUUGCCCCUAAUGAAGUUAGGGGAUUUGGUCAUAGCAGACACCAUUAUUGAAGGUAAGGUUUUUAAGGGUGAUACUGAGCAAGAGUUUCACCAAAUCUACACCUUUGAUUGUACUAAUCCGCAGACUAGUCCUGCUUAUUUGUUCCUCCUGUCCCUCAGCUGGCCGGAAGUAAACAAAAUCAGAAAUUCUGGGCAAGUCUAGUUUGUCCCCCAGAAGCAACCUCUGACCUGAUACAAUGACGGUUGUGACUAAAUUAGGGUUCAAAUUAUAGAACAGAGGGACACUACAUACUGCUCAAGAAUGACAUUUUAUUUUCUAUUUUGGAAAUGUGCAAAAGUCAAGUCCCAACAGAAAACACCUGGCAUACCCAAAAUUGUACAAAGGGGAACACAAAAGAUAGUACAUUUCCCCAGAACUGGGAGCAGCUGAUUUGAUAGCAAAUAUAAGCUUGAAGGGACAAGGAGAGGGUGCAGUUCCCAAAACCCAGAAGCAGAGAGUCAUGUAAAAUCUGAUGCCUUAUAGGGAGAAUGACUUUUAGUUGAAGGACACAGACCAAGAAGACCUUACAAGGAAAGAGCUGGAAGAAUAAAUACGUGCAUUUGCCCUUUCCUCUCUCUGGUCUCCACCUCAACUGGAGGCCAGAGGGAAGACUUUAGAAGGAACCUACUCAGGUAAGCAUCCCAGGGCAGAGACAGGAGGCUGGGUUCUGAUUCUGGAGGAGCAGUCAGGAGAUAAGAGCAAAAACAAUGUCAGGGUAUUGGCUACUUAAAAAAAUAAUGUUCUACAGUUCUGUAGUUAGGUAGGCUGAAAAUAUAUUUCAAGCUGUUGCACUAAUGGCCCCUAAACCUUGGUUGUAGUUUCAUAGGACCAUGGUUCAUGUUUUUCUUCUUUAAAUUCCCUUUUCUAGUACUGUUUUAAAAUGUCCUUCGUCUAGGAUAAGUAUAAAUUAUCCCAGAUUUUAGCGAGGCACAAAAGGAAGGCCUUACAAUGUUGUUGUAUCCCUUUUCCUUUGCCAUCGCUCUGGGUUUAACCAUCAUCUCUUUGGCUGUUAUUUUCCAUUGUUAACAGUUAGUAGGAAUCAAGCCAACAAUCCUAAAGAGCCAGGAAUUCCUGGCCUGGUUGAACAGCCUUUAUCCCUGCUUUGGAGCACUUGAAUCGGCCAUAAGAAUUUAUUGCUAUUUGUAGAUGAAGAAGUAUUUCUACACUGAAUGCAUUUUUAAUGCUGUUUGUUGGAAGAAAGAUAUGAAAAGGGGAGUGACUAAGAAAGGUAUUCUGUCUCUACUGAUGAGAGAGCCAACACUGCUAAUGACACAGAAGAAAAUAAGAUAUGGCUCAUCAUGGCCCAGUAAUUCUACCAUUGGAAAGACUUUCCAACUACCAUUGGAAAGACUGGCAAGACUUGUCUUUGACAAGAUUACAUUUACUUUUCAAGUCCUAACCAUCACUCACUGACUCCCUACCUGCAUCAAGAUUAUGAAUGCCUGGAUGCCAAGGAUUCCAAUUCAAACUUAGAACUUUCUCAUUCAUUGACAUCCCUGCUGCAAUCAGCCACAGUGAGACUCCCAUCAAGAUCUUGGAAGAAAUUAUCACUAAGUGUUGAUUCAAAAUCUGAUCAACUAAUGAUCUGAUCAACAUAGAAGCAGAAAUUACCUUAGUGAAAAGGUGAAAAACCAGGGCAAUUGAUAUGCUAAGGUACUGUACUCCAGUUUUCUAUGAAUAGUUAAUAUCAGUUUAACCAACUAAAUUUAGUAUGAUGAGUCUUAGGGACUCCAAAGUCUAAAAAUGUCAGUAUCUUCAAGAUUGCCUAGAGCAAAGGGCCCUAUCAACUCAAGAAUUGACAUCUCUGAGGCUGGGUUAUACCUUCCAACACCAGGUUUGCAUAGCUGAGUGACAUUAGCUAUGAAGAUAAUUUGAUUCACUCUUCUGGCUCAGUUGUCAUAUUGUUAAUCAGCCUUAUAAUAAAUUUAUAUUUCCACAUAAAUUUUUAUACAAAGACAGAAUGGAUAGCGCAGUUGACUUGAUCGCUUCCUUUUAAU